GGCUUCACUGGUUUCAUCGGGCGGCUUUCCGUUUUCUUUUUCAGCGCCGCCAUUCACAGCAGGGGUCUCGUCGGGACGGCCGCCGCCAAAGAUUGCCCACCAACGUGAUACUGUUCUGGUCUCCGUCGGCGGUGCCACAGCUGCAAGCUUCGUCGCCUCCACAACACAGCAUGGAGGCAGGGCGCCGCCGCCGGCCAACGGCGCUGCUUGGAGCGGAAGCAGGGUGACCGGGAUGCGUCUCUCUUCUCUCCGCCGAGCGAUGCCGCGAUCCAGAUCCUGAAAUCCGGGCCAUCUUCCCACACCGCGAACUGCGGCUUUCUUCCAUCUCCUGCAGUCGGGCAUACAUCCCAAUCGUCCUCGAGAUCACCCUCACCGGGACAAAUAUACUACGGUGAUCGGUGAUCUUUUCCUUCUCCCUCUAUACCUACGGAUGCCUUAUUUUCUAUAAUACAGAUCCUUGAGUCCUCACAUCCCAAGCUUUUAUGAUGGAUUCACAUUCCAUUAGGAUUUUUAAGCAUUGAUUUUUUUUAUUAUAAAAAAACAGUUUCAAAUCAGACUUCAACAUGAGACUGCAGAUCAUCAUGUCAUUAAUUGGAGUUUCUGACCGCGUGAAGGUUGCUCCUAUCAUAAUGUACAUAUAUUUUGUUGUAAAAAUAGUCAAAAUACAUACUCUCGUCAUUGUUUUUUUUCGAGAAGCAUGCAUUUCAUUAAGCAGCAUUGUUUUAAUUUCUAUAUCUCCAUACAUGAAUGUAUGUACAUAUACUACGAUGGUGUGGUUUAAGUAUGUACUUAUACUAUCUAAA